rnacentral:rRNA from 1 species
AGCAGUGGGGAAUUUUGGACAAUGGGCGCAAGCCUGAUCCAGCCAUGCCGCGUGCAGGAUGAAGGCCUUCGGGUUGUAAACUGCUUUUGUACGGAACGAAAAGGUCUCUUUUAAUAAAGGGGGCCCAUGACGGUACCGUAAGAAUAAGCACCGGCUAACUACGUGCCAGCAGCCGCGGUAAUACGUAGGGUGCAAGCGUUAAUCGGAAUUACUGGGCGUAAAGCGUGCGCAGGCGGUAAUGUAAGACAGAUGUGAAAUCCCCGGGCUCAACCUGGGAACUGCAUUUGUGACUGCAUUGCUGGAGUGCGGCAGAGGGGGAUGGAAUUCCGCGUGUAGCAGUGAAAUGCGUAGAUAUGCGGAGGAACACCGAUGGCGAAGGCAAUCCCCUGGGCCUGCACUGACGCUCAUG